rnacentral:rRNA from 1 species
AAAAACAUGGCUCUCUGCUUAUAUAAAUAUAGGGAGUCGAGCCUGCCCAGUGAAUUUUUUAACGGCCGCGGUACUCUGACCGUGCAAAGGUAGCAUAAUCAUUUGCCUUAUAAUUGAAGGCUAGUAUGAAUGGUUUGACGAGAGCAACGCUGUCUCUUUUUUAUUUCCAAGAACUUAACUUUUAGGUGAAGAGGCCUAAAUUUUAUUGAAGGACAAGAAGACCCUGUCGAGCUUAAAAGACAUUAUAGAAGUCUAUAUAUAUUUUAAAUAAAUUUUCUAUUAAGCUUUUUAGUUGGGGCGACUAAGGAACAAAAAAAGCUUCUUGUUAACGAUAAACAAUCAUGUUUAGAUCCGAUAAUAAUCGAUCGGGGGAAUUAGUUACCGCAGGGAUAACAGCAUAAUCUCUCUUGAGAGACCUAAUCGAAAGAGGGGGUUGUGACCUCGAUGUUGGACUAGAAUAUCCUAAAGGUGCAGA